rnacentral:rRNA from 1 species
GUGGGGAAUAUUGGACAAUGGGCGCAAGCCUGAUCCAGCAAUGCCGCGUGGGUGAAGAAGGUCUUCGGAUCGUAAAGCCCUUUCGACAGGGACGAUGAUGACGGUACCUGUAGAAGAAGCCCCGGCUAACUUCGUGCCAGCAGCCGCGGUAAUACGAAGGGGGCUAGCGUUACUCGGAAUUACUGGGCGUAAAGGGCGCGUAGGCGGCUCUGUUAGUCAGGCGUGAAAUUCCUGGGCUUAACCUGGGGACUGCGCUUGAUACUGCAGGGCUUGAGGCCGAGAGAGGGUGGUGGAAUUCCCAGUGUAGAGGUGAAAUUCGUAGAUAUUGGGAAGAACACCGGUGGCGAAGGCGGCCACCUGGACAGGUACUGACGCUGAGGCGCGAAAGCGUGGGGAGCAAACAGGAUUAGAUACCCCUGUAGUCC